AACGAACGCUGGCGGCAGGCUUAACACAUGCAAGUCGAGCGCCCCGCAAGGGGAGCGGCAGACGGGUGAGUAACGCGUGGGAAUCUACCCAUCUCUACGGAAUAACGCAUGGAAACGUGUGCUAAUACCGUAUACGUCCUUCGGGAGAAAGAUUUAUCGGAGAUGGAUGAGCCCGCGUUGGAUUAGCUAGUUGGUGGGGUAAAGGCCUACCAAGGCGACGAUCCAUAGCUGGUCUGAGAGGAUGAUCAGCCACUGGGACUGAGACACGGCCCAGACUCCUACGGGAGGCAGCAGUGGGGAAUAUUGGACAAUGGGCGCAAGCUUGAUCCAGCCAUGCCGCGUGAGUGAUGAAGGCCCUAGGGUUGUAAAGCUCUUUCACCGGUGAAGAUAAUGACGGUAACCGGAGAAGAAGCCCCGGCUAACUUCGUGCCAGCAGCCGCGGUAAAAC
rnacentral:rRNA from 1 species